CAAAUCAAAACAGCCCCUGUUCUUCAUUUCCUAAAAAAAAAAAUGCCAGGGAAACCAUAAACCAAACAGAUUCAAAUAACCCAAAUCCAAACAGAAUCCACAGAAUGGGUCGAAGAGACCCAAAUCCAAUCAACUGCAAUGAAGAAGGGAUCAAUAAGCACCGAAAACUGAUAGGAAAUCACCGAUUAUUUCAGUUCCUCCCUGGAUUAGAUGGGAGAUACGACAAACUUUGUCGGGACAUUCUCAAGAAAGUUCCCGUUCCCUCAGUCAAGUCGGCGUUCUCAAAAGUGAGAAGGGAGGCCGCCCGACUACAAAACUUGCAGCCGGCAACCAACCGCUCCGACAUCGACGUCUCAUCAUCGGGAGGGGUCGGAGCCGGAAUCACCGCCACCCACCGCCCUACUCAGCGGCCUGAGGUCCGAC
rnacentral:lncRNA from 1 species